rnacentral:rRNA from 1 species
CUACGAACUGGCAGCACGGACUUCGGUCUGGUGGCGAGUGGCGAACGGGUGAGUAAUAUAUCGGAACGUGCCCAGUCGUGGGGGAUAACGUAGUGAAAAUUACGCUAAUACCGCAUACGAUCUAAGGAUGAAAGCGGGGGAUCGCAAGACCUCGCGCGAUUGGAGCGGCCGAUAUCAGAUUAGGUAGUUGGUGAGGUAAAGGCUCACCAAGCCAACGAUCUGUAGCUGGUCUGAGAGGACGACCAGCCACACUGGAACUGAGACACGGUCCAGACUCCUACGGGAGGCAGCAGUGGGGAAUUUUGGACAAUGGACGCAAGUCUGAUCCAGCCAUUCCGCGUGCAGGACGAAGGCCUUCGGGUUGUAAACUGCUUUUGUACAGAACGAAAAGGUCUCUAUUAAUACUAGGGGCUCAUGACGGUACUGUAAGAAUAAGCACCGGCUAACUACGUGCCAGCAGCCGCGGUAAUACGUAGGGUGCAAGCGUUAAUCGGAAUUACUGGGCGUAAAGCGUGCGCAGGCGGUUAUAUAAGACAGAUGUGAAAUCCCCGGGCUCAACCUGGGAACUGCAUUUGUGACUGUAUAGCUGGAGUGCGGCAGAGGGGGAUGGAAUUCCGCGUGUAGCAGUGAAAUGCGUAGAUAUGCGGAGGAACACCGAUGGCGAAGGCAAUCCCCUGG